rnacentral:rRNA from 1 species
UACAGAGGGGGCAAGCGUUGUUCGGAAUUACUGGGCGUAAAGGGCGCGUAGGCGGCCUGUUAAGUCGAACGUGAAAUCCCCGGGCUCAACCCGGGAACUGCGUCCGAUACUGGCAGGCUUGAAUCCGGGAGAGGGAUGCGGAAUUCCUGGUGUAGCGGUGAAAUGCGCAGAUAUCAGGAGGAACACCGGUGGCGAAGGCGGAUCUCUGGGCCGAUACUGACGCUGAGGAGCGAAAGCGUGGGGAGCGAACAGG